AACUGCAGAUCCAUCAUCUGGAGUCAUACGUCCUUGUGGUUUUGCCCUUUACAAUGGUGAAGCAACAAACAGUUUCCCUUGUAUUUUCAAGGUAUUCUGGACCAGAUUUCCUUGGGCUCCAACCUGUUACUAUUCCACUCCAGCAGCCUGAUCACCUUUUGCUAGGGUCUCAUUAGGUUUCACCAGCUGAGCAGCAUCAGCUUGGGUUAACGUUUGACUGUGAGAUUUUCAAUUAAAGCCCAUGAUGAUCUA